AGAGUAACCAGCUUUUAGUGGAGACCUGGAUUUGAGUGCCCUGAGUUAGAUUCCUGGGAACACCACCAUGGAGGGCCUGGCCUUUGGCGGUGGACAGUCUGUGGCUGGGUGGGAACGUCAGGAGUGGGGCCUGCCUCUUUGCUGGGAAUGCCGUGCACUCCCAGCCCACUUGCCCCAUGCCAGCACUCGAGGCAGGACUUCGCAGGUGAGCAGUAACGGAAAUCAGCCCCGUUUAUUCCUCCCAGCACCUGCCUUAUCCAACUCCCCACGCUGUGGCUGAGUCCCAGCCUGCUAUGGAAGCAUCACUGGACUCCCAUUGAACUCUGUGCAGAUUCGCUGUUCGUAGACAUGGUACCUGAUGGACACCAAGCUACGUACAGCUUCAAGGCCCCUUCUUUCUUUGCUAAUAAAAAAUAAAAAAUAAAAACAUAA
ensembl:lncRNA PVT1 Pvt1 oncogene